UGCCUCAGUAACGGCGAGUGAAGCGGCAAAGCUCAAAUUUGAAAUCCUUCGGGAGUUGUAAUUUGUAGGUUGGGAGACCCCGCGGCUAGUGGCACCAAGUCCCUUGGAACAGGGCGCCUUAGAGGGUGAGAGCCCCGUAGGUACCACGACGCCGUCUUUGUGUCUCCUCUCCAAAGAGUCGAGUUGUUUGGGAAUGCAGCUCAAAGUGGGUGGUAAAUUCCAUCUAAAGCUAAAUACCGGCGAGAGACCGAUAGCGAACAAGUACAGUGAUGGAAAGAUGAAAAGCACUUUGAAAAGAGAGUGAAACAGUACGUGAAAUUGUUGAAAGGGAAGGGCUUGCAAGCGCAUCGGUUGCUAGGGGUGGAUAAGUAGCUCCUCGGAGUAUUAUAGCCUUGCGCGAU
rnacentral:rRNA from 1 species